GGGCCCGCACAAGCGGUGGAGCAUGUGGUUUAAUUCGAUGAUACGCGAGGAACCUUACCAGGGUUUAAAUGCAGAACGACAGGGGUGGAAACACCCCCUUCUUCGGACGGACUGCAAGGUGCUGCAUGGUUGUCGUCAGCUCGUGCUGUGAAGUGUCGGGUUAAGUCCCAUAACGAGCGCAACCCCCAUUUCUAGUUGCCAGCGGUUCGGCCGGGGACUCUAGAGAAACUGCCAGCGUAAGCUGUGAGGAAGGUGGGGAUGACGUCAAAUCAUCACGGCCCUUACAUCCUGGGCCACACACGUGCUACAAUGGGGGUGACAAAGAGUGGCCAAGCUGCGAAGCUGCGCAAAUCUCAAAAAAACCCUCUCAGUUCGGAUCGCAGUCUGCAACUCGACUGCGUGAAGUUGGAAUCGCUAGUAAUCG
rnacentral:rRNA from 1 species